GACAUACUAAGAACUUCCAGAGAUGGAUUGGUGCCUUCGGGAACUUAGAUACAGGUGCUGCAUGGCUGUCGUCAGCUCGUGUCGUGAGAUGUUGGGUUAAGUCCCGCAACGAGCGCAACCCUUUUCCUUAUUUGCCAGCGGGUUAAGCCGGGAACUUUAAGGAUACUGCCAGUGACAAACUGGAGGAAGGCGGGGACGACGUCAAGUCAUCAUGGCCCUUACGGCCAGGGCUACACACGUGCUACAAUGGUCGGUACAAAGGGUUGCUACCUCGCGAGAGGAUGCUAAUCUCAAAAAGCCGAUCGUAGUCCGGAUCGCAGUCUGCAACUCGACUGCGUGAAGUCGGAAUCGCUAGUAAUCGCGGAUCAGAAUGCCGCGGUGAAUACGUUCCCGGGCCUUGUACACACCGCCCGUCACACCAUGGGAGUUUGUUGCACCAGAAGUAGGUAGUCUAACCGCAAGGAGGACGCUUACCACGGUGUGGCCGAUGACUGGGGUGAAGUCGUAACAAGGUAAGCGUAGAUGA
rnacentral:rRNA from 1 species